rnacentral:rRNA from 1 species
AGCGAACGCUGGCGGCAGGCCUAACACAUGCAAGUCGAACGGAUCCUUCGGGAUUAGUGGCGGACGGGUGAGUAACACGUGGGAACGUGCCCUUUGGUUCGGAACAACUCAGGGAAACUUGAGCUAAUACCGGAUGUGCCCUUCGGGGGAAAGAUAUAUCGCCAUUGGAGCGGCCCGCGUCUGAUUAGCUAGUUGGUGAGGUAACGGCCCACCAAGGCGACGAUCAGUAGCUGGUCUGAGAGGAUGAUCAGCCACACUGGGACUGAGACACGGCCCAGACUCCUACGGGAGGCAGCAGUGGGGAAUCUUGCGCAAUGGGCGAAAGCCUGACGCAGCCAUGCCGCGUGAAUGAUGAAGGUCUUAGGAUUGUAAAAUUCUUUCAGCGGGGACGAUAAUGACGGUACCCGCAGAAGAAGCUCCGGCUAACUUCGUG